CCACGCUUUGCUGUAGUUCUCCAACAUGAAGCUUGGUGGAUUGUUUUUUACUUUGAGUAAACUUGCAUCUUUGUGCCAGGAGCUAUAAGGGCAAGUUUAGGGGAUAAAAUAUGAUUCUUCAGUGUUGACUCAGAAGGAUGAAUUCACGUCACGUUUAAAGGAUUACUCUGUAAAAGACAGCCGUGUGUCCUUUUCACAAAGACGGCCACCUCUGUGGUCCCUUCUCGUCUUAUCUUCUCCACUCAUCCUGGGACGCAGUCGCAGAGUGCCAUGUCACAUGCGCUAGCAGUCGUCUCCCACGGCCUGGCUGGAAUUCGAGGCUGUGGGUGUGGAAAGUGUUUCUGACGGUUUUGUGCAUUCUUCAAUUGGAACCACAUGUUACAGAGCCUGAACGAGACCUGGCACAGGGAGCGAGGGAAUAUCAGAUAAUCUGCCCUGAGCGUUCUAGUCGCAGUGAGGCAGGCAAAGAAUAAAUCCAGUAUUCCUCUUAGCCAUCUCCGUUCCUGGGAGGACUUUAGUCCACCAGUGAAAUAUAUAUAUUUUUUUCCUAUCCACAGCUCAGCUUGUGCUCUCAGUCCUCAAAUAGACUGACAUGUUUGCCCAUUACACAAAUAUGUUGGUAUUUAGCAAUUUAAGCCAGAUGGGAUGCUACGAUGCAAUGCUAUGUUUACUUAGCAGUAAAGUGAAAUGUUUAGGACAGAGAACAAAAAAGAAGAUACUGUAAUG